rnacentral:rRNA from 1 species
UACGUAGGGUGCGAGCGUUGUCCGGAUUUAUUGGGCGUAAAGAGCUUGUAGGCGGCUCGUCGCGUCGGGUGUGAAAACUUGCGGCUUAACCGCAAGCCUGCACCCGAUACGGGCGGGCUAGAGUUCGGCAGGGGAGACUGGAAUUCCUGGUGUAGCGGUGGAAUGCGCAGAUAUCGGGAGGAACACCGGUGGCGAAGGCGGCGAUCUGGGUCGAUACUGACGCUGAGGUGCGAAAGCGUGGGGAGCAACAGGG